rnacentral:rRNA from 1 species
AGGGUUCGAGUCUGGCUCAGGAUUAACGCUGGCGGCGUGCCUAAUACAUGCAAGUCGAAUGGUAGUAGCAAUACAAACCAUGGCGAACGGGUGAGUAACACGUAGGCAACCUGACUUUAAGACGAGGAUAACCGUUGGAAACGACGGAUAAUACUGGAUAGGACAUCAUAAAGGGCAUCCUUAGAUGUUUAAAGGUUAUCAUGCCACUUAGAGAGGGGCCUGCGGCGCAUUAGCUAGUUGGUGAGAUAACAGCCCACCAAGGCGAUGAUGCGUAGCCGGACUGAGAGGUUGAACGGCCACAAUGGAACUGAGAACGGUCCAUACUCCUACGGGAGGCAGCAGUAGGGAAUUUUCGGCAAUGGGCGCAAGCCCUGACCGAGCAACGCCGCGUGAACGAAGAAGUUAUUCGUAAUGUAAAGUUCCUUUAUCUGGGAAGAAAAACAAAUUGACGGUACCAGAUGAAUAAGCUCCGGCUAACUACGUGCCAGCCGCGGC